rnacentral:lncRNA from 1 species
GUCCCGGAAGCGGAUCGCGGUGUGUGAAGGUGACACCGCCGAGCAAGAGUGUGCCUAGGUGUAGAUUAAGCCUUCGAUUCGCCGUCCCGCUUUUCCACACCCGCUCUGCUGACCUUAAAAUCCCCGCAUCGCGCCCUUCACCCGAGCCGGAUGUGGUGCUGCACGCCUGUAAUCUCAGCUACUCUGAGGGUGAGGCAGGCAAAUCGCUUGAUCCCGAGAGAGGGAGGUUGCAGUCAUCGGAGAUCGCGCCACUGCACUCCAGCCUGGGCGAGAGAGCAAGACUCCACGUCAAAAAUGUUUUUAAUUAAAAAAAAUAAAAAUGUAUUUCUCUUAAUUUUCUUCUUGCCUCCCUGAUCACUUUACACUUUUCUCUUCUAGUAUGUCUUGAGCUCUGUUUUCUGAAUGUGGAGUGACCCUCAGCUUACCCCUCGGACUUCUGAUCUCUGCCCACACCCACUGCCCUUAUCAUCUCAUCUCAUGGCUUUAAACCCACCUACACGGCUCCAUGUUCCCUGCAGACCUCUCCCCUGAACACUGGAAUCCUGUGUCC